AGAGAUUUAAUUAUGACAAAGUUGCCAAGUGAAGAAUUGGAUAUUAGCUGGAAGAUUUGUUUUCCAAUUCCAAUUCCAGUUUCCAUGGAUAGGAGCUUCAAUAAAGGGCACUAUCAACGAGUCAUAAGCGUUUUUGACAAAAUACUUGCCAGUUACAUUGUCAGUCCACAUCCAAACAUUAGGAAUAGAUUCAGAAAGGGAAGGAACAAUUUCUCUUAUCUCAAGCUUAAUAUUAUCUGGGAUUUAACUGCCAUCUAUCCAGACAUCAGAGGCCAUAAGUUGAGUGUCUGCUAUGUACACAUAUAACAC
rnacentral:lncRNA from 1 species